rnacentral:snRNA from 1 species
UGCUUGCUUUGGCAGCAAUAUACUAAAAUGGAAAUGAUACAGAGAAGAUUAGCAUGGGCCCAGCUCAAGGAUAACACACAAAUUUGUGAAACAUCCCAUAUUUUU